UUUUCAAAUUUAAAAUUUGAAAUUUUAUAAUUUUUAAAUUUUAAAUUAAUUUUUUGAAUUUUAAAAUUUAUAAUUUGAGAUUUUAAAUUUUAUAUUUUAAAUUUGAAUAUUUAAAUUUAAAAAAAAUUAAAAAUUUAAAUUUAAUGAGAGAAGUAAUAUUAUUAUUUUUUAUUUAUAAAAGCUUGCUAUUUUUCUUAUUCUAUCUUAUUUAUCUAAAUAUUAUUUUUCUUAUUUUUAAAAAUAAUUCAAAUUUUCAUCCAAAAUUUAUUUUUUUUAUUUUCAAAAAUAAUUCAGUUUUUAUACCAACUCAAAAUUAAUUUAAUUCUUAUUUAUAUCUUAACUUGUACAUAUCUCUAGAAUAAAUUAUUUUUAUUUA
rnacentral:lncRNA from 1 species